CAGCCGCCGCGGGAAUACCGAGGCCUCAAGCGUUGUUCGGAUUCAUUGGGCGUAAAGGGUGCGUAGGCGGUUCCGUAAGUCGGAUGUGAAAUCUUGGGGCUCAACCUCAAAACUGCAUUCGAUACUGCGGGGCUAGAGGACUGGAGAGGAGAGUGGAAUUCACGGUGUAGCAGUGAAAUGCGUAGACAUCGUGAGGAGGACCAGCGGCGAAGGCGGCUCUCUGGACAGUUCCUGACGCUGAUGCACGAAGGCCAGGGGAGCAAACGGGAUUAGAUACCCCAGUAGUCCCUGUCUCUUAUAA
rnacentral:rRNA from 1 species